AGGUCCAGAUACUCUCUUUGAGCCAACUUUUGUUCACUGUUUUGUGGAUUCGUUGAGCAAGAAGAAGAUUCGAAUAAAAGCUCCUUUACUUGAUGAGAGCUCCACGCAUUGACAACUGGAUUGCAGAUAAAGUGCACAACAAGAUUGCUCCAAGCCUAACAAGGGAGAGUUGUGAAGCACUACACCAAAGCAUCCAAGAGGUUGUGAAAUAUGUUGUCAAUUGAUGAUGCUGAUUGUGACCACUUUUCUGUCGAAUGGUUCACGGCCGGGGGAAAAAUCUGGUAAGCUUGAUGGUGAGUUUAUCCUCAAGUUACAUCGCAGUUGUCUUGAUUCCUGAACAAAACUGGUACUAACUUUCUCGAGAAUAUUGGUAAGGGCCUCUUCUUGUUGCUUUUACGGGUAUAGUGGUAUUUGAUAGUGUGGAAGUAUUGAUAUAUAAGUGUCAUAUGGUCCAAUCUUGUGACCACUGUCAGCCUUUCAUCUUCCUUUGAUCUAUCAAAUUUCUGGUUAUUGCUUGAAAGAAAAAUUCAAUUCAAACCGGUCUGUGGCAGGGUGAAUAAUACCAUUUCAUUACUACACCUUGUACCACGAGAAAUUUGUCAAUCCCCCUAAUUUCUACACUAUGUGUAGACUACAGCCUACGUGUCACAACUUCAGAUGGUGAUUAGAAUCCCGUCUGGCAAAGCGGCCAAGAAAGAGAGUGGAUUAAAAAAAAAGAGGUAUUGCUUCAAGAUUAAAGGUAAAGCUGAUCAGAUAGCACCAGGAAGACAUUUCAUAUUUGCAGCCAAACAUAUCCAAUACAUGGUAGAAAUAUAAUAGAAGUAGAGUCCAUUAUGUAUGAUAUAUAUGUUGAGCCCAAUAGGCU